CCAAAAACGCGUUCUUCCUUUGUUCUUUUUAAUCUCUCCCAUUGCAUACUUGCUUAACUGCAACACUGGAAGAUCGAUAAAAUUAAAGCCGGAUCAAAUGAGGUUCUACAGGAGAUACCCUACACGGUCUUUGAAUCUUCAUUCAAGUAAGGAUCAAGGAGCUCCACCAUGAAGCAAGAUGAAACAAUCGUGAACUACAGCCCUAAUCUAAUUUUCAAUAACAGUGAACUACAUAUUUGACUAGAUCUUGUGUAAAUAAGUUAGCUAUGCGUCUCUUGUUCAGUUUGUCGACAUUUUUGGUACCACAGGCUCACAAUCGCCGAUGCUGAAGUUUAUGUACGUAAGUGAAAGUCACGAGGUCUGAGAAGCUCAUCUCAGUCAUCUGGCUAUGUCGCGCGUUUUUUGUCAUUCAUCUUUACAGUGUAUGUGAUGAGUUCUAUAUACGUUCUAUAUUCACGAGUAACAUACAGCCCGCGCUUUGCUGUGGGUGAAUGAA